rnacentral:lncRNA from 1 species
UCAUGUUGUAAGGAAGCCAAGCCACGUGGAGAAAUCAUGUAGGCAUUCUAGCUUUAGUAGUCCAAACUGUGAUACCAUCCUGGCCCAGGUGCUCGAAAUGAGUAAAUUAGCCUUUGGAGAAAUCCAGGCCCCAACCACAGAGUUGCCCUGGUCCUUCUAGCUGAGGCCCAAAACAUUACAGAGCAAAGACAAGCCACACUCAUUACGUUAUGCUCUAUGUGAGUUCCUGGCCCAUAGAUUCUACUAUCAAUAUAAAACUCAGAGAGUUUUACUUGAUAUAAAUAUUUUAGCAAGCAAGAAACAAACUGUUUGUAGCAGGGAGACUUCGAAACCAAAAGUGGUAUGAAACUCAGAUCUCAGAAGUUACUGCUCAGUUUGAAAAUCAUGAAUGAGGAGUUCCCACUGUGGCUCUGUGGUUAACAAACCCAACUAGUAUCCACGAGCAUGUGGGUUCGAUCCCUGGCCUCGCUCAAUGGGUUAAGGAUCUGGUGUUGCCCUGAGCUGUGGUGUAGGUCAAAGAGGAGGCUCAGAUCCAGCAUUGAUGUGGCUGUGGUGUAGGCCAGCAGCUAUAGCUCUGAUUAUAUCCCUAGCCUGGGAACCUCCAUAUGCCACAGGUAUGGCCCUAAAAACAAAAACAAAAAAAAAAAGAGGGAAAGUACAGUUAACCCUUGAACCACCCAAGGGUCAGGAGCACCAACCUCCAGCUUAGUGAGAGUCUGUGUAUAACUUAUAGUCAGCCCUCCCUACAUGUCGUUUCUCCAAAUUCACAGUUCCUCUUUCUGCAAUUCCAUAUCCUUGGAUUCACCAAUCACAGAUCAUGUAUUACUACAGGAUUUACUACUGAAAAAAAUAGGCAUAUAAGUGGACCUACACAGUUCAAACUCAUGCUGUUCAAGGGUCAUAUGUACAUUGUUUUCUAUUGCGACAGGUUACUAGAAAUUUACAUUCCUUUUAAGGUAAUAGCAUUGUAUAAGCUUACUAAUUUGUAGCUGAUUGGCUAGGAAGCUGUAAGGUCACACCAACAUAAAAAAAGCUUAAGUUUUAAGGUCAGAAUCAGCAUUUCAGGGAAAUGUGGACAGUUUAAGGUUUGGUUAUGGGACUAUGAGUAUUUCAUCUAGGGGUAUAUUCAAACUGUGGCCUCCAUUUUAGUUUUUCUUUAAUACUACAAAUAUAAUAGAAUGGCAUCUUAAGCUGUGAAAUUUUGGUAUAUGUCAUUGUGCACAAAUACUAACUAAACACUGAUUAAGCUGUAGUGUCCAUGAGAACGUGUGAACUGACCAGAAUUGACAGUUGCAAUCUAUCCAAACCACUACCUGUUUAGAUAGAGACAAUGCACCCAAGGGCUGCUUCCAGGUAAUGACUGAGUUCUAUUAGAGACCUGGGAGUCUUGUGAUGGGUGGUCUUGGUUGGACUUCCUUGACAACCUUGCUGAACCUUCCUCAAACUGUAAUGACAUGCUUCCACUCAACCUUCCUUCCAUCUCUUCCUCACUUGCAUUCAGACAUGCCCAUAGUCUGACAGCUCUUCCUGCCUUUUUCAUAUCCCUCAUCAUUUUUCUCAUACAAGUAUUUUCUCUAAUAAAAUCAUUUUAUGUUUAACCCAGAUUUGGUGUCUGAUUUCAGAGGACCUAGGCAAAUAUCAGUGGUAUAAGAAGUGGUCCCCCAAAACAUGCAAUAAGAUAAUGGUUUGCUAUUGGGAUCACCCACCACCAGGCGACAGACAGAGGACACCAUCUUGUUUGGUAGGUGGAACACAAACAGUUUCAGGCAAAAGAUCAUGGCCAAAUUGCUAGAUUUCAGUGAUCUGUCACCAGCAAAUUCUUGAUGGUCUUGGCAAAUGCUGUUUGAAAGAUGUUCCAGUGGAGAUGAAUGCUUUGACAGGUAGGGAUGAUACUGGCAUAUGAAAAAUUGGGGUGGGAGAAACAAUGCUUACGAAGAUAGGUGGGUUGGAUGGUUGUUGCUAAGUUGUAUUAACACUCAGCAGGAGGAUAAUGGGAGAUGCGGGCUGCGGCUGCAAAACAUCAGUUAGCAACUAAACAGGAGAGCCAGGGGGCCUUGAUGUUACCUUACAAAGAGGCCUGUCCCCUGCUAGAAGGGCAGGCAUAGUUGAGCAGCAGGUUAAAGUCUUGAUUAUUAAAGUCCCAGAGCUCCAAAAACAUCUUAAUUCCCAGCCAAGGCAGGUCAGCUGUGUGAAGGUCAAGGCCCUGGUGGGCAAAACUUGGAACCAUGAAGUAGGAUAGGGAUGUCUAAGUGGAUGUCCUGAGGUUGUUGUCUUGGCAACUUUCUUGACCCUCUGAGACUGCAGAGGUAGCACACCACUCCCUAGAAAGGGCCAGCAUUUCUGCAGCACCUCCCAGCACAGCAGAGGCUUCACCUGACAAGGCAAUAGAUGACACCCACACAGGCUACCCCUACUAUCUCUCCUGAUUGCCAGGCCAAUAAGUAGGAUUAGUCCCAACUCAACCCAGCUGGAGAUAGGCUGGGUCUUCUAAGGGAGGAAGGAGACUAUAAACCUAAAGAAUUAUGAGUGCUGGGAUACACUAACAGGAGCCAGUAAAUUACUCCUGGAAGCGGAUUCUGAAAGUGCUUGAUUGGGGAGGGAAGGAUUGGGAUUUGAGGACUGGUUUAUGUACACUUUUGUAUAUGGAAUGAUGGUCAACAGGGACCUGCCAUACAGAGCAGGAAACUCUACUUAAUAUUCUAUGAUAACCUAUAUGAGGAAAAAAAAAUCUGAAAAAGAAUGGAUAUGCCUUUAACUGAAUCACUUUGUUGUACAGCAUUAACACAACAUUGUAAAUCAAUUAUACAUCAAUAAAAUGUUUAAAAAUAAAAAAUAACAUAUACAACCAAAAAAAAAUCAGAGUGUAAUAAAAAGAAAAUGCUUGAUCAAUGGGGACAGAAUGUACAACAGAAUAAGCCAGAACUCAUUGACUUAGGGACACUUUAUCAAGACCUGUGAUUUAAAAUCCUAGCAAGGACCAUACAGGAUAAACUAAUAGCUGAGGUAGCUCCUAGAAGUAGGUUAACGCUCAAUACAGUUUCCCUAACAGAAGACAGGUGAAGGAAUUUAAGUAGCUGAGGAAAGUGGGCAUGUGGUAUGGAUACAUAAGGCCAAAAGGCCUUCCAAGAGAUUGAUUUCUACAGGAGGAGCACACCAUUCACAAAGACCAUCAGGAAUGCUCUGUGAGAGGGGCACUAGCACCACUACAAAAUUCUGUGAUGGCUUCCCUACAGGCCCAGGAUGUUGGUAAUAAAGGGAGCUGCAUACCAGGCAGGUUAAUACCCAUGGAGAUGAAGGGGCUUUAAGUAGCAGAGGCCAGACAGCAGCACAUCUCUAUCAGGAGCCAGGAGGCAAUAAUUAUCAAAAUGACUGGCAAGGCCAGAGCACAGCCAAGUCUGUUUGACCCACAAGAAGUUGUAGUCAAUAAAGCAUGGUGUCUCUAGGAGCAAAACAGAUGGCCACCCUACAAGGGUGCUGCUUAACAUUAAACGAAAAUAAAGAAUAGAGGAGCAGGAGGCUGAAAGUGGUUGAUCAAACCCACAACCAUGUCCCAGUUCCCAGACCAGAUUUGCACAUCUGUAACCCUUUAACUAAAGAAGAGGCUGGGGCUCUAGGAGGAAGGAUUCUGCCACACCAUGGAAGGUAUAUACCAUAAACACAGAGUGCCUAUAAAUGUGAUUGAAGUUGAUACACUUAGAAGUUGGAGAAUUUUCCUCAUUGUCUCUGGCCUCUGGAGCAAGAACUGUCAUAAUGAGGGCAGUCAAAUGGAAACCUCUGAAACUGCCGCCCAAGAUAGUAAAACAAAAACAUGAUCAUAUUCCAUGGAGAGCUAUGGCAAAGAUGAGUACCAUCAUUAAUUAUCUGAAGGAUGCAGAAAUGGUAGAGUCUAUCAUCUCUCCAAUUAAUUUAACAAUCUAGCCCUUUCAAAAGCCAGAAAGCUCCUGGAGAAUGACUGCAGACUGUCACAACAUCAACCAAGAUGUAUCUUCAAUUAUAGCCACUAUGCCAGGCAUGGUAUGCUUGAUAGAGCAAAUUAAAAUGACAUCAGGUACACAAUGAACAGUCAUUAAUCUAGUGAAUGUAUUCUAUUCAAUCCCAAUCAGGAAGGAGAAAGUUGGUAUUCACAUGAAUGGACAAAAAUAUUCAUUUAAAAUUUUCCUUCUGGACUAUGUUAACUCUCCUGUCUUCUGUCCGGAGAGAUCUAGACCCUCAGGACAUCCCACAGAACAUCAUACCUAUUCAUUACUUCCAUGGUAUAAUGCUGAUUGAGCAGGAGCAAGAGGUGGUUAGUAUUCUGGAGGAUUUAGUAAGAUGCAUGCAUUCCAGAGGGUGAGAGAUCAAAGAUUCAGGCACUAUUCCCUUCAGUGAAGUUUUGAGAAACCAUUGAUCUGAAGCCUGCUGGGAAAUGCUCCAAACUAAAAGAUAAAUUACAUCUCUUGCAUUCCCUACACGGAGAAGAAGGCAAAACACGUUAGAAGGUCUCUUUGGCUUCUGGUUGCAAUAUAUUCCAAACAUGGGAAUACUCAUCCCAGUCAUAUACAGCUUUGACUGGGGCCCAUGGACUGUGCAGCCAUGAAGAGCAAACACUUUCAUACACUUUCUUCCCUCUAUUCUUCACUUAGGGUGCAUCUUGCACCAAGAUUUGACUGCUUACCUAGCCUAUUGCAGGUCCUUUCCCAUGUUCCACCUCAGGCAUAUAGCCUAAUAAAUGAGAUUUCAUGUCUAAUCACAUUUUGGCCUCUGAUUAUUAGGGGACUCAAACUAACACAAGUGCUUUAGAAAAAAGUCACCUAAAUAAGGAAUCACUGCCAUUUUUAAAAACAGGCUCUAGAUGGAAAAAAAGGUAGGAACCAAAUUUACAGAGUGAGGAGAGGAUGGUCACAAAGGGCAAGAAACAAUAAGAGUAUGUGUAGCAAUUCUCAUAUUCCAACCUCUCGGUCUCAGCUGAGAAGAAAUCUGGACCAUCAUCUGGGAGUUCCCACUGUGGCUCAGUGGAGAUGAACCUGACUAGUAUCCAUGAGGAUGUGGGUUCAAUCCCUGGCCCUGCUCAGUGGGUUAAGGGUCUGGCAUUGCCAUGAGCUUCAGUGUAGGUGGCAGACGUGGCUCGGAUCCCACGUUGCUGUGGCUGUGACAUAGGCCAGCAACUGCAGCUCCAAUUCAGCCCCUAGCCUGGGAACUUCCAUAUG